GACGAACGCUGGCGGCGUGCUUAACACAUGCAAGUCGAACGGAAAGGCCCUGCUUUUGUGGGGUGCUCGAGUGGCGAACGGGUGAGUAACACGUGAGUAACCUGCCCUUGACUUUGUGAUAACUUCUGGAAACUGGGGCUAAUACCGGAUAGGAUCUCUUGCUGCAUGGUGGGGGAUGGAAAGUUUCGGCGGUUGGGGCUGGACUCGCGGCUUAUCCGCUUGUUGGUGGGGUAGUGGCUUGCCAAGGCUUUGACGGGUAGCCGGCCUUGGAGCGUGAACGGCCACAUUGGGACUGCGAGACGGCCCAGACUCCUACGGGAGGCAGCAGUGGGGAAUAUUGCACAAUGGGCGGAAGCCUGAUGCAGCAACGCCGCGUGCGGGAUGACGGCCUUCGGGUUGUAAACCGCUUUCGCCGGUGACGAAGCGUUAGUGACGGUAAUGGGUAAAGAAGCACCGGCUAACUACGUG
rnacentral:rRNA from 1 species